GUGGAGUGGAAUGGCUCUCUGUCUCAGCAAUCUAAGAGAAGAUCGGAUGUUUUUGAGGUUGCUGAUGAGUCCACAGUUGUGGGAUGCCUUAGGCGCUGACACUGCAGGUGGAAGUCAUCUGCUGUAGAAGCUCGGAUGAAAACUUUCUGUUGGAGAAGUCCGGUAGGAGUCCGAUUGCUAGAGAAGUCCGUCUGAAAUUUACCUGAUGUGGAAGCUCGUCGGAAGAUUGUUCGUCGGAGAGGUCCGAUUUCAUGAGGGCAGAGGGUCGACCAAUAGUGGAGUUCAGAUGGCGUUGUAGAAGUUCAUCCGCUGGAGGAGUCUUGAGGACACUGUGGAAGGUCGAACGUUGGAGGAGCUCGGGAUUUCAUUCUAUUGUAGAAGUUCGAACGGAGUCCGACUCUUGCAGGAAUCCUAAAGGAGGUCACUUAUUGUAGAAGCUCGGACGAAGACCAGUUGCCCU
rnacentral:lncRNA from 1 species